CCCUUAGAUGUUCUGGGCCGCACGCGCGCUACACUGAUGCAUUCAACAAGCCUAGCCUUGACCGAGAGGUCCGGGUAAUCUUUGAAACUGCAUCGUGAUGGGGCUAGAUUAUUGCAAUUAUUAAUCUUCAACGAGGAAUGCCUAGUAAGCGUGAUUCAUCAAAUCGCGUUGAUUACGUCCCUGCCCUUUGUACACACCGCCCGUCGCUCCUACCGAUUGAAUGUGUUGGUGAGGAGCUCGGAUUGGCAGCAGUUGGUGGUUCGCCACCGGCUAUUGCUGAGAAGUCCUCCAAAUCGCCCCAUUUAGAGGAAGGAGAAGUCGUAACA
rnacentral:rRNA from 1 species